rnacentral:rRNA from 1 species
UUUAUGGAGAGUUUGAUCCUGGCUCAGGAUGAACGCUGGCGGCGUGCCUAAUACAUGCAAGUCGAGCGAACAGACGAGGAGCUUGCUCCUCUGACGUUAGCGGCGGACGGGUGAGUA